GCGAGGGUGGCGGAACUGGUAGACGCGUCGGGUUUAGGACCCGGUGAGGCAACUCGUGGGGGUUCGAGUCCCCCCUCUCGCA
rnacentral:tRNA from 1 species